GGACGCGUAGCUCAGUUGGUUGGAGCGCUGCGCUCACAUCGCAGAGGUCACAGGUUCAAGUCCUGUCGCGUCCACCA
rnacentral:tRNA from 1 species